AUGUGCAGGGAGGGAGGUCGUGUCCUGGCCUCCUGCCAGCUCGGCUUCAUCCUGGAGAACAUCACCAAGUGCCUGUGCCCACUCAGUGCCAGAUACCCAACUCGCCUGUACCACUCUCGGGAGGUUUUUGGUGCUUUUUCUGACCACUUUCAGCCUGGAUUAAGGCGACAGCUCUCGAGUGCUGCGGAGGCAGGUUGCCUACGUGUCAGCUGUGCCCUUACUGAGCUGUCAAUUUGCCCCCCCAAAAAAAAUGUGAAGCAGCAGGGACAUGCAGUGGCAACACAGCAUCGUGGAGCGUGGUACCUUCCCCCCUCAGUGUCUCUGGGGUGGGGGGAGCUCUGCCUGCCCGCUGAUGUUUUUUCCUUCUCCCGCUGUCCUCUGCUGCGUGGUUCAUGCUGUAGAUAGAUCCCUUGUGCGACGGGCGAGCUACCAGCUGCUGUUGCAGGUAUCGUUGCGCUGUGGUUUUCUGCUGAACGUGGAGGAGGCUGGUUAGAAACCAGCAGCUCCAGCCAGCACGCCCAGAUGCCGUGAUGAGUGUUUCCUGUUGCCUUUCGCUAUGGAAAGACACCUCCCGGGAAGCUCUUGGGACCCGGAGGUCUUCCGGCACUUGUUGUUAUUUUUGGUUGCCAGAUUUCCGGUGCUGGGGUUGGAAUGGUUUGGAAGUUACUCGUGUCGUGUCCCGUUAGUCUCCUAACGAGCCUGUUCCGAGAAGUGUCCCAUCCUGCGACUUACCUUUGGAGUCCUGCCUUUCCAUUAAGGACUGUCCUAUAGGAUGAGGUCUGAACCAUUGUAAUGAGUCUGUAACGUUACGAUUAGAGUGUACAGAGUUAUUUAUUUUGUGUACUCGGUCUGCUCAACAUGUAAAUGUAUUCUGGGUACCCCCUGGCUCUGCUGUCGUUACUUCUGCCCAGCGGAAUGACUGCUGGAAGGCGCCGCUUUCUGGGCUGUGGGUGGGCAAUGGUCAGGAAAAACAUGGGAAGCCAGGAGCUGCUCACCCCUCUCUCUCAUUCCUUCUUGGAGCACAGCAAGAAGGUACCAAAGUGCUCAUUAAAGAGUUUUAUGGUGUCUUUCAGGCAGCUGCCAGGCCAGAAGCUGCCUGUGGCAGACCUUGUGUGGGGUUGGGAUGUCCACAAGUGCUCUGGGUGAGUCAGGCUCUUGCUGGAAGGCAGGGUUUGGGCACUGAACGGGCACUUUGGGGCAUUUUGUUUGCUUUUCUCUGGCUGCAAGGUGGCAAGUGGGGCCAGAGAAAUACCCUGGUUUGCCCCCAGCAGCUCCUCACCUCUCUGGUUUCACUCUGGGCAGCUUCUGUGGGUGAACAGGAAAACCUGUAACACCAAGUGAAAAAAGGCACCUCCCUUUUGCACCAUGUCCUCCUGGAAGAGAGGUGAUUUCUCAGGCACAAGGG
rnacentral:lncRNA from 1 species